UACAGAGGCCCCAAGCGUUACUGAGAAUCACUGGGUUUAAAGGGUGCGUAGGUGGCGCGUUAAGUCCGUUGUGAAAUCCCUUGGCUCAACCAAGGAAAUGCUUCGGAUACUGGCGUGCUUGAGGCCGGUAAGGGUCACUGGAACUGACGGUGGAGCGGUGAAAUGCGUAGAUAUCGUCAGGAACGCCAAUGGUGAAGACAGGUGACUGGGCCGGUACCGACACUGAGGCACGAAAGCGUGGGGAGCGAACGGG
rnacentral:rRNA from 1 species